AAGUCGUAACAAGGUUUCCGUAGGUGAACCUGCGGAAGGAUCAUUAUUGAAAUAAACCUGAUGGGUUGUUGCUGGUUCUCUAGGGAGCAUGUGCACACCUUGUCAUCUUUAUAUCUCCACCUGUGCACUUUUUGUAGACCUUUCAGGUCUAUGUUGCUUCAUUUACCCCAAUGUAUGUUAAUAGAAUGUUGUGCCUAUAUAAUAUAUACAACUUUCAGCAACGGAUCUCUUGGCUCUCGCAUCGAUGAAGAACGCAGCGAAAUGCGAUAAGUAAUGUGAAUUGCAGAAUUCAGUGAAUCAUUGAAUCUUUGAACGCACCUUGCGCUCCUUGGUAUUCCGAGGAGCAUGCCUGUUUGAGUGUCAUUAAUAUAUCAACCUUCUCUUUUUUGAGUUGUUUGGAUGUGGGGGUUUGCUGGCCUCUUAAAUGAUUCAGCUCCCCUGAAAUGCAUUAGCAGAACAACCUGUUCAUUGGCGUGAUAAUUAUCUAUGCUAUUGAAUGUGAGGGCAGUUCAGCUUUCUAACCGUCCUCGGACAAUUCAUCAUUAAUGUGACCUCAAAUCAGGUAGGACUACCCGCUGAACUUAA
rnacentral:rRNA from 1 species